UUGAGAUGAAUCCUCCCAAAAGAUACACUAAAUCUCUAGCCCAAGGCAUCCUGAUUACUACCUUCUGUAGAAUGGGCUGUCUUCAUAUUAAUUAGGUAAGGUCAUAGAGGCAUAGGGCCAGGCCUUAUUCCGUAUGGCUGGCAUCUUAAAAUAAAAUAUGGAAAGAGUCGUAUGGGUAGAACUUCAUGAGAAGACAAAGAUGUAGAGUUUUGUUUCCACAGACCAAAGGACACUUGGAGUCAUUGGAUGCUGAAAGAGGCCAGCAACAACCUGAUUUCAGCCUUCUACGCUCCAUAACUGACCAAAGCCCCCAGCCCUUCAGAAAGUACAGAAUAAUGUUUAAUUACUCAUGACAUACUGCUGAGCUCUUCUCUAGGAAUUGCCUUGAGCUGAGGGAGCGAUCUAACCCGUGGUUACUCUGCCAGGAAUAAUCAGCAUCUUUUGGCUUGCCAAUGCAGUCCUCAUAGGUCUGCUAUCCCACCCUUGUGACACCUCUCCCAAAAGAAGUCAAAGAAGAAGAGGUGGAGGAAAAGGAGAAGGGAAAAGAAGAGGAAGAAGGAGGAGGAGGA